rnacentral:lncRNA from 1 species
UGCAUUCACUUUGUUUUUGAGGUUCAAAGUUUCCCACUACACAAUUUGGAGAAAGAGUCACAAAGGAAAAAGUGAAGCUGCCAGCAUGAUCUAGCUUUGGUUAGUGAAGAAGAGUGUUAAUUAACCUUUACUAGGUCAUGCUGUGCCAGCCUCACUCCUUCCUAUUUUGGAGACCAAUACAUUCUUACCAUCUUCUACAUCUCAAAGACACAAACCCUAAAAGCUAAAGGUGAGUGCAACACUGUAACUUACUAUAUUCUUUCUGCUUUUGCAGGCAUGCCCUAUAUCCGUAUUCCUUUACACUUGCUUUUAUUUUUUAUGUUCUUUUGUUUAUUACUUUGUUAAGGUAGAUCUUAUUCAGAAUGGCUUGAAACUUCAGACAACUACAUUUUACUAUGAUGAUGUUUAAGCUGUUUUGUCUUAGGGCAUUGCUGGGGGCCAUUUUUAUGCAGAAAUGAACAAAAUAUCUCUCUGUCGGUGGUCCAUAAUAUUUCAUGUUAUAUUAUAGCUAGGUACGAGUUGAACUUCAUACAUCUACAUAAUAUUACUGCUAUAUAUUGAAGCUAACCUCGGCAUGUUUUAUCUCUUGUUUUGAACUGAGAACCCUUUUUAUAGUAGUUGAAUUCUUUCUUGUAUUGAAAAUGGGGUGCAAGUGUAUGGAUUAGUUACAUUCUUUGAGAAGAAAAUUAAUUUCAUGCACCAACUAUACUCUUUCAUUUUAUAAUCUAUUCUUUGCAUUAAUAGGUAAUAAUGCAUCACUGAAAGAGAGAUGAUAAAGGGUUUUGUUAAAGAUACUACAAUUACAGACACUUUUUUCUCAUAAAAAUAUAUGCAAAAAAUAUAAGUUCUAUAAUGUCACUGUAUUAUCCUUCAUUAUUCAUGUUUAAUCAUCAUUUAUUUAUUAAAAAAAAAUGAUGCAAAUGAAUAAUGGAUAAUAUGUUGAAUGAGUUUAAAUAUUUACACCAAUCAACGGUGCAUAUUACAUUAAAAAAACUAAACAAUAUAGGAACAGUAGCACUAUCUUUUCGUAUAUGACAAUUGUUGUUGCUUAACUAUAGGGAUUUAUAUUAUAUGAUUCUAUUUGUAGAUCUGUGAUAUUGGAUAAGGGAUCUGAGGCCUGCAUCACCACAUAAUGUGUGAUUCUGUUUUUUGUAUAACAAGGGAAUUGUUGGAGUACCGUUUUCCUCUUUAAUAGUUUUGAUUUGAUAGAAUGGGAUAAGAGAGUGCUUCAAGUCUUCAACCUUCAAUGCUAGUAAAAAUAAAAUGAAGCAAACAAUUAGGCAAUAAUAUUAAGCUUUGAUUUAGAAUUUAGAAUGUUAGAAUAUAAUAAACAAGAAAAUGUUUCAAAAUAAGAUAAAAAAUGUUUACAUUGGCUUAUAUUUUUUAAAUACUUUACAUUACCUUAGAUAAAGAUAGAAAUUCAUCACACGAAAAAAGUUGAAGAUAGAGAGCUAGAUUUUUGUAUACUUAUUAUUAAUGUUAAUAAAAUCUUAUAAUUAGAAUUAGGGGAAUGUUAGUCAAAGCUUUUAUUUGUUUGAAGCAACAAGAACUUAGGCCUACGAUAACAAACACCUUCAGCAUCAGCCAAAUGAAGUUGUUGACCUCCAAAACUUUGGCCUGGUAAUCUUAGCACGAGAAUUUUCUUAUGUUUAAGGUGUAGAAUUAGGGUUUGUGAAGCUCUGAAUGUUAAGUUUCAAGUAAAAAUCAUAGUGGAUGAUCACUUGUGUAAAAAACAUGACGUUGUUAAUGCAUGCUCAUUAAAGUUUAAACUAAGUCAUUUGCAAAAUAUUCAUGGAAGCUUAAAGCACUUUACAUGACCUUGAGUCAUUGACCAUGUGUGGGUUUUCGGAACAUUAUUUGUCAUCCAUGUUAUCUUGAUACUAUUUCCUUGGUCAAGAGUGAUAUUUCUUAUAUUCAUACUUCUGCUACCAUUGCAGCAGUAGAAAUUGGAACACUCGGGCACGAACACCCGGCGCGAACACUCGGUUCGUCAGACAAACUACUGGGUAGAUGUCAUGGCCAAAUUGGGAGCACAUAGAUACAUUGGAUAGAGAGUGUGGGAUCUAGCAGAAUAUCAGGUCACAAAUGUUAAAACGGG